UAGUUUGAGAAAAAUGAUGGUUAAUUCUUUGCGCAAGGCCAAAAGUCGGUAGGAAAUAAUAUUUAAAAAUUACCUGUUGCUAGAUGCACUUCGCCUAGGGGGCUACGUGUCGCUGUGUUUUUGGCUUUGGGUGGUUAUGGCGGACGUAGGCGAAGCACGUUGUUUCUGUGUGAUCAAUUUCCUUUUUCAGCGAAACCUUUCUUGGCUGCACAACGUAUUUUAAUCUGCGUGCAGUGCAUGACCUCGUGAUAUAUGCCCACAAAGUGGAGGUAGUUAUUACAGUGUCAAGGAGUUUGCACUUCCACGGAGGAUCGGCUGUUUAUGCCUACUGGCGAAGAAAUGAUGGACUGUUAUCCCGCCAAGGUGCCGAUGAUGAAAGAAAACAUACCCAUCAAGACAGUGGGACGUCCACAAGCAAGUGCCACAGAUUUUUUAUGCUCAUGACAUGGAUGCAGCUCUGUGGUUGCUUUCAAGAGUACGCUGCCACGAAGCCCAGCCGCAAAGGCAGAAGUUUGACUGAGUGAAUUGAUGCAAUUAAUGGCUACUUGGCUGACUUCCUAAAAAGGCUGUAAGGCAAUAAAUUUUGUCAAAUUGA